ACUUCACCCAUCAAAACAUAUAGAUGGCUCAUCUCAUCCCACCUUGCCUAUUGCAAUUGUCCCCGACCGGCGCCGUGAUGACAUUUUUAGGGGUAUCAAUGAUUAAUAAAAAAAGAUUAGAAGUCGUUGACGUUUGACUAAAGUGGCAAAAUUAAUUAACCAAAUGCGCCGUGACCUAACCAGUCACCUUUUUUUUUCCGACUUGUGACGAGGCUGAUAAGGAUUGAAGUACACGCGCGGGAGCCUAAUAAUAUAUGACACCUGGACUCUCCCACCAGCCCUGCCCGUCGUUACAAUGACGUAACUAUAAAAUUCCCAUUUUCUCUAUUUUAUUUUUUUUUCCGAAGAAAAAAGAAGGGGAAACUAAAGAAUAUUAAGAAAGAAACGGCCAAAUAAGGAGAUCUUUUUUUUUUUUUUCCGUCCGAUUAUUAUCUCAAUCGCCAAUAAAAUCCGGCGGCACUCACACUAGAUCUUGGAAACCCCCAUAGUUUGUUUUUCUUCGUGCUUGUAUUUUUUUUCGUCGCGCUCAAGAUUCUCUCUUCUCUGUUUCCAUAGUUUCGAGAGGUUGAUCGUUCCUUUUGAUUCGAUUGGUUUGAGUUCGCGAUUUCUCAGACGGUGAU